rnacentral:lncRNA from 1 species
UGGACGUUUUCUGCAAAAUUAUGCAUCGUGGGGGAAAUCAAUGACUGUUCCUGUCACCAAGCUCUUUGUGCAAUAUGUAUAUAUAGGGGAAGGGUGGGAGUGACGCCCCAUAGGUGCCCCAAAGGUGGGUGAGCGACCAGCGACGUCGUGGCUGUUACGAUCAAGGGCAAGCCAAGGCAAGGCCAUCGGCCAAGCUCACUGGUGAUAUCCAAGUCGUGAUUUGCGUUUGCUUAGCGAAACCAGAUCGCGACCAGCCACUCCUCGACGAUAUCCUCUCAAUCGGCCCAUUUUCACCAAUGAAAAACCUGAUCGCGACCAAAUUUGCCCCACGUUGUGCUAGUUCCAAAAAAUUAUGCAUGAUAUGGAAUAUCAAUGUCUAUUCCUGUCACCAAGCGCUUUGCACAAUAUGUAUAUAUAGGGGGGACCAUGGAGACCGAAGCCACCAGCGAGCAUCAAAAGGCAAACCCCAAGACAUGUGAAAGUAUCGCACCCCCCAACACGUUGCCUUGAUUGCUCGAACGAUGACCCAAAAACUAGCCCCGUUGCCUUGAUUCCUCGAACAUGUUGCCUUUACUUUGUCGAACGAUGACCUGAUGAUGAGCAUCGUUGCCUAGAUUCGUUGAACGACAACCUUGGAUGCCUUGAUAUCACUAACAAUUUUGCCUAGAUUUAUCGAAUGAUGGCCCUGAAAGAUGCCUCCCCCAACACGUUGCCUUGUUAAUUAGUUCCAUGUUGCCUUGAUUUCUCCAACAUGUUGCCUGGACAUGUCGAAUGAUGUCCGGAAAACUAUCCUCGUUCUCUUUAUUUCUUGUACAACGACCUUGAAAGUAGCCUCGUUACCUUGAUUGCUGGAACACGUUGCCUUGAUAUCACUAACGACGACCUGCAAAACCAGCAUGGUUGCCUUGAAUACUGGAACACAUUGCCUAGAAAACUUGCCUUGAUGACCUGAAAACUAGCCUUUUGUGGCCUUGGUUUCAUGAACGACGACCUGAAAACUAGCCACGAUGGCCUAGAAACUAGCCACGAUGCCUUGAUUUUCCCCGAAGUCGUGUGCAUACGAAAAAUUAUGCAUUCUCAGGGAAAUCAAUGUCUGUUCCUGUCACCAAGCUCUUUGUGCAAUAUGUAUAUAUAAGGGAGGGCAUGGUUGCUGAAUCCACCAUCGAGCAUCGUAAAGGUAAGCCUUAAGACCCGUGAAAGAGCCCUCCCCCAACACGUUGCCUUAAUUGCUCGAACGACGACCAAAAAACUAGCCACGUUGCCUUGAUUCCUCGAACAUGUUGCCUUGAUUUUUGGAACGAUGACCGGAUGACUAGAAGCGUUGCCUAGAUUUGUCGAACGACGACCUUGAAACUAGCCCGGUUGCCUUGAUUCCUCGAACAUGUUGCCUUGAUUUUUUGAACAAUGACCUGAAAACUAGCCUAAUGGAAAACAUGGGUGCUAUUCCUCAUUGCCAACACGUAUAUAUCUGGGGGGCCAUAGAGACGAAGCAACCAUCUAGCACCAACAAGGCAAGCCAUAAGACCCGUGAAGGAGCCCACCCCCAACGCGUUGCCUUGAUUGCUCGAAAGAUGAGCCAAAAACUAGCCCCGUUGCCUUGAUUCCUCGAACGUGUUGCCUUAAUUUGUCGAACGAUGACCUGAUGACGAACAUUGUUGCCUAGAUUUGUCGAACGACGACCAUGAAACUAGUCCUGUUGCCUUGGUUCCUUGAGCUUCUUGCCUUGAUUUUUUGAACGAUGACCUGAAAACUAUCAUAAUGGACAACUUGUGGGCUAUUCCUUAUUGCCUUGACGUAUAUAUUCGGGGGACCAUAGAGACGAAGCAACCAUCGAGCACCAACAAGGCAAGCCCCAAGACCCGUGAAGGAGUCCGCCCCCUAAGCGUUGCCUUGAUUGCUCGAACGACGAGCCAAAAACUAGCCCCGUUGCAUUGAUUCCUCGAACGUGUUACCUUAAUUGGUCGAUCGAUGACCUGAUGACUAACAUUGUUGCCUAAAUUUUUCGAAUAAUGACCUUGAAGCUAGUCUUUUUGCCUUGAUUCCUUGAGCUUGUUGCCUUGAUAUUUUGAACGAUGACCUGAAAACUAUGCUGAUGGACAACCGGGGUGUGCUAUCUUCGUUGCCUUGACGUCUAAUAUGGGGGGGGGGACCAUAGGGACGAAGCAACCAUGGAACACCGACAAGGCAAGCCCCAAGACCCAUGAAGGUUCCCACCCCCUAACAUGUUGCCUUGAUUGGUCGAACGGCGACCUAAAAAAAGCCAUGUUUCCUUGAUUCCUCGAACAUGAUGACUUAAUUUUUCGAAUGAUGACAUAAUGACUAGCAUUGGUGCCUAGAUUUGUCGAACGAUGACCUAAUGACUAACAUUGUUGCCUAGAUUUGUCGAACGAGGACCUGGAAACUAGUCCUGUUGCCUUGAUUCCUUGAGCUUGUUGCCUUGAUUUUUUAAACGAUGACCUGAAAACUAUCCUGAUGGACAACCAGGGUGUGCUAUAAUCGUUGCCUUGACGUCUAAUAUUGGGGGUACCAUAAGGACGAAGCAACCAUCGAGCACCGACAAGGCAAGCCCCAAGACCCGUGAAGGAGCCCACCCGCAAACACGCUGCCUUGUUUGCUCGAACGACGACCUAAAGAAAGCCCUGUUUCCUUGAUUCCUCGAACAUGUUGCCUUAAUUUGUCGAACGAUGACAUGAUGAAUAGCAUUGUUGCCUAGAUUUGUCGAACGACGACCUUGAAACUAUCCAUGUUGCCUUGAUUCGUUGAGCAUGUUGCCUUGAUUUUUAGAAUGAUGGCCUGAACACAAGCCUUGUGGCCUUGCUUUCUAGAACAUGUAGUCUUGAUAUCUAGAACAACAUCCGGAUAUAUACCCAUUGCCUUGAUGUAAACAUAGGGGGACCGUAGAGACGAAGAAACCACCGAGCAGUGACAAGGCGAGCCCGAAGACCCUUGAAAGAAGCACACAACAAACAUGUUGCCUUGGUUGCUCGAACGACGACCUGAAAACAUGCCAUGUAUCCUUGAUUCCUCUAACCUGUGGCAUUAAUUUUAUGAACGAUGACCUGAUUACACGCCUUGCUGCCUAGAUGUGUCGAACGAUGGCCUUGAAAGAUGCCUACCCGAACACGUUGCCUUGUUAACUAGUUCCAUGUUGCCUUGAUUUCUCCAACAUGUUGCCUUGAUAUGUUUAAGUAAAUCCUGAAAACUAGCCAUGUCGCCUUGUUUUCUCGAACGACGACCUGGAAACUAGCCUCGUUGCCUNCUGGAAAGUAGCCUCGUUGCCUUGGCUGCUGGAACAUGCUGCCUUGCUUUCUCUAACGACAACCAGAAAACUUGCAUCGUUGCCUUUUGUUUUUAGAACGAUGACAUGCCAUGUAUCCUUGAUUCAUCUAACAUGUUGCAUUAAUUUUAUGAACGAUGACCAGAUUACAGGCCUUGGUGCCUAGAUCUGUCGAACGAUGGCCUUGAAAGUUGCCUACCCGAACAUGUUGCCUUGUUAAGUAGUUCCAUGUUGCCUUGAUUUCUCCAACAUGUUGCCUUGAUAUGUUUAAGAAAAUCUUGAAAAAUAGCCAUGUUGCCUUGUUUUCUUGAACGACGACCUGGAAACUAGCCUCGUUGCCUUGGCUGCUGGAACAUGCUGCCUUGCUUUCUCUAACAACGACCAGAAAACUUGCAUUGUUGCCUUUUGUUUUUAGAACGAUGACAUGCCAUGUAUCCUUGAUUCCUCUAACAUGUUGCAUUAAUUUUAUGAACGAUGACCUAAUUACAGGCCUUGGUGCCUAGAUUUGUCGAACGAUGGCCUUGAAAGUUGCCUACCCGAAUACGUUGCCUUUUAGACUAGUUCCAUGUUGCCUUGAUUUCUCCAACACGUUGCCUAGAAAUGUUUAAGAAAUUCCUGAAAACUAGCCAUGUCGCCUUGUUUUCUUGAACGACGACCAGGAAAAUAGCCUAGUUGCCUUGGCUGAGGGAACAUGUUGCCUUGUUUUCUCUAACGACGACCAUAAAACUUGCAUUGUUGCCUUGGCUGCUCGAACGAUGACCUGAAAACAUGCCAUGUAUCCUUGAUUCCUCUAACAUGUUGCAUUAAUUUUAUGAACGAUGACCUGAUUACAAGCCUUGCUGCCUAGAUCUAUCGAACGAUGGCCUUGAAAGUUUCCUACCCGAACACAUUGCCUUGUUAACUAGUUCCAUGUUGCCUUGAUUUCUCGAACAUGUUGCCUUGAUAUGUUUAAGAAAAUCCUGAAAACUAGCCAUGUCGCCUUGUUUUCUUGAAUGACCCACGAUGCCUUGAUUUCUUGAAUGACCCCAAGCUCUUUGUGCAAUAUGUAUAUAUAGGGGAAGGGUGGGAGUGACGCCCCACAGGCGUCCCGAAGGCGGGUGGGCGACCAGCGACGUCGAGGCUGCUACGACCAAGGGCAAAGCCAAGGCAAGGCCAUCGGCCAAGCUCACCGGUGGUAUCCAAGUCGCGAUUUGCGUUUGGCUGGUGAAACCGGAUCGCGACCAGCCACUCCUCGACGAGAUCCUCGCAAGCGACCCAUUUUCACCGAUGAAAAACUUGAUCGCGACCAAAAUUACCCCACGUCGUGCUAGUUCCAAAAAAAUUAUGCAUGAUAUGGAAAAUCAAUGUUUGUUCCUGUCACCAAGCUCUUUGCGCAAUAUGUAUAUAUAGGGGAAGGGUGGGAGUGACGCCCCACAAGUGCCCCAAAGGUGGGAGAGCGACCAGCAACGUCGAGGCUGUUACGACCAUGGGCAAGCCAAGGCAAGGCCAUUGGCCAAGCUCACCGGUGAUAUCCAGUUCACGAUUUGCGUUUGCUUGGCGAAACCAGAUCGCGACCAGCGACUCCUCGACAAUAUCCUCGCAAUCGGCCCAUUUUCACCGAUGAAUAAUCUGAUCGCGACCAAAGUUGCCCCACGUCGUGCUAGUUCCAAAAAAUUAUGCAUGAUAUGGAAAAUCAAUGUCUGUUCCUGUCACCAAGCUCUUUGCGCAAUAUGUAUAUAUAGGGGGGACCAUGAAGACCGAAGCCACCAAAGAGCAUCAAAAAGGCAAGCCCCAAGACCUGUGAAAGUAUCGCACCCCCCAACACGUUGCCUUGAUUGCUCGAACGACGACCCAAAAACUAGUCCCGUUGCCUUGAUUCCUCGAACAUGUUGCCUUACUUUGUCGAACGAUCACCUGAUGAUGAGCAUCGUUGCCUAGAUUCGUUGAACGACGACCUUGGUUGCCUUGAUAUCACUAACGACGUUGCCUAGAUUUAUCGAACGAUGGUCCUGAAAGAUGCCUCCCCCAACACGUUGCCUUGUUAACUAGUUCCAUGUUGCCUUGAUUUCUCCAACACGUUGCCUUGACAUGUCGAACGAUGUCCUGGAAACUAGCCCUGUUCUCUUUAUUUCUUGAACAACGAUCUAGAAAGUAGCCUCGUUACCUUGAUUGCUGGAACACGUUGCCUUGAUAUCUCUAACGACGACCUGCAAAACUAGCAUGGUUUCCUUGAAUACUGGAACACAUUGCCUAGAAAACUUGCCUUGAUGACCUGAAAACUAGCCUUUUGUGGCCUUGGAUUCUUGAACGAUGACCUGAAAACUAGCCACGAUGGCCUGGAAACUAGCCACGAUUCCUUGAUUUUCCCCGACGUCGUGUGCAUACGAAAAAUUAUGCAUCCUCAGGGAAAUCAAUGUCUGUUCCUUUCACCAAGCUCUUUGUGCAAUAUGUAUAUAUUGGGGAGGGCAUGGUUGCUGAAUCGACCAUCGAGCAUCGUAAGGGCAAGCCCCAUGUGACAACCCAAGUUGUUCCGUUACAUUUUCCCCGUUCCUAUCAACGGAAUAUUCCAGUUUAUAAAGGUUCCGUUAAUUAGAGGUCGUCAAUUAAAUAAACAUUUCAUUUGUUUAUUAUUUAAUAGGCCGUUAAGUCGUGAUAAAAGGGAAUAAAAACACACAUGAUACAUUUCCAUUUAUUUGGAAAGUGUUAAGUUUUAUUAUUACGACCCCUAAAUCGGGUGCGACCAAAAGCCCCGUAUAACGGCAGUAUUGGCUAGAAUUCCACUGAGCUCCAACUCCCACCCAUAUAUAAAGGGGAGUAAACUCCAUUUGGAGCUUUUCCACCCUCUCUCUCUAUACUCUCUCUCUCUCUAGGAUCGUUUUCGACUAAAAAACCGCGAUUUCCGACUCCUAAACGUAAGACUAUCAACCCUAACUUGUUCUAUGCGUACAUUAUUGUCUUUUUAGCCUAAAAAUCACAAGAUUGAGACAUGAAAAAGGAGUUUACGGCCUAAGUGCCUCCUUAGGCCAUACACCCCCAAAAGAUGGCCAAAAUGACUCAAGAAUGUCCCUAAUGGCUUGGAAAUAAAUCAAGGGAUUUGCCUAGGAGUGUUUAAACAUUAAAUCACAUGAUUUUAGGGCAUAAAAGAGAGUUUACGGCCCAAGCACUUGCUUAGGCCGUAAACACCUCUUAAUCAUGUCUAAAUGUCCCAAAAUCACUCCCAAACCACCCUUGGGCUUAAUACAUAAUUUAGGGACUUAGUAUUUUGGAUUUAGACCAUUAAAACAUAAUGAAAUGAAAGGGAAAAGGGAGUUUACGGCCCAAGUAUGUACCAAGGCCGUAAACACCCCUAAAUGUGCCAAAAGUAUGGUUUUGCCCCCCAAAUGACCUUAGACUAUUUCUAUAAAAUGCUAGGAUGGAUUUAAAGGCUUAAACUCAAAGAAUGGUGGGUGUAUGAGAAUUCACGGCCAAACCAUAGAGCUUACUGCCGUAAACUCUCAAGGGUUGGUCAUUUGGACCAUAAACUCUAAAGGAGACCCCUUUUGGAAUCCUAAACACCCCUAUAGCCUUGAAUAAAUUACUAGAAGUGAUAUAAGGGCUUGAAACUUCACAAAACUCAAGGGAUGAGAGUUUAUGGCCGUAAACUCCCUUAGGAGUUGUCCCUAGUCCGUAAACUCCAUUAUAGUGCCCUUAAAGACCCUAAACCCACUCAUGCCUUUUGGAAUUGGACCUAGAAUAAUUCCAUGAACAAGUAGAAGCCUUAAAACACACUAGAUACCCUCACCAUGAGUUUACGGCCGUAAACACAUGGUGAGUAGUCCAUGGGCCGUAAACUAAGUUGUAAGGGUUUACUCUCGGAGAGUAAACUCCAUUCCUAAGUCAUACACACCCUUAGACGCUACUCGGGACACCCAAACACUUAACCAAAGUGUUUUCCGCUCCUUUGAGUGCGUAUACAUGUUUAAUUAGUAUUAAAUAUAUUAAUUGUAUGUGAACAUAUGUUAUCAUAUGUUAAAUAGGUCAUAGAGUGUGUUCGAGUCCUUACGUGACACCAAACGCCCAAACGACACCUUCGUCGGACCUACUUACACCAGGUGAGUUCAUACCCCUGAAUGAACCUUUUAAAUGUUUUUACAUGUUUUAUAGGGGGGAAUACAAGUUAAACAUGCCAGUUAUCAUAUCAAUCACAUGUGAUUGAUAACCCGCAUGCACAAGAUUUUACCACAUUGAAUACUGUUUUACCAAGUAGGACACUAUAAAUGGUUUUCUAAAAGGUUUUCACUUGUUCAAAGUUCUUACUUUUACUGUUUUGUCAAAGUUUCAUUUCAAACUGAUUUAUGAAUGAUUUCCAAAGAAUUUCUAAAAGCUUUACAUCAAACUUGUUUCACAAAGGAAUACCAAGUCGUGAUUUUCUUAAAAUAUAAAGGUUUUCUAAAGUUUACGCCUAUGUUUUUAUACUUCUACUCGUUAACGUUUCCACUUCGAGAUACACUUAUACUUGAUAACGUUUCCACUUCGCGAUACGAUCAUACCUGAUGGACGCUUAUACUUGUUCACACUCUUACUUAGAGAUAAGUGUCUACUUCAUUUAUACAUGAUAUCGUUCCUACUCCACUUAUACUUGUAGUCGCUUAUACCUGAUAGACGCUCUAACUUCACUUAUGUCGUCUCUAUUUCGUGAUGCGCUUAUACUUGUUCGACACUCCUACUUCACAAGAAUCACUUUCACUUGAUACACACUCAGUCGUAGUUAGAUGUAUGUCUGUGCUCAUGUAGAUACAUAAGUAAUGAUUGAAAGACUUAGGAAGGUUCGUUCGCCCUAUUUCCUUUUCUUCAUUGAGAUGUGGUCUGGUGGGAUCGGAUGUCUGUCCGAAGGUCGUUUGGUUCAUUAGUUAUAUACUAUGUAUAUGAGUAUGGGCGUAUAGGAAUGCUCUAGUCGAUUCAGUUAGGAGUCUCUACCUCUAGUCUACACUUACAUUAGAAACACACUACCCACUUUUUGGAAGUCUCUACCCCCUAUUUGGGAUGCAUCUUCAGGACACGGCCUUCCCCGUCGUCUAGUUGGUAACCAGAGUCUUCUGUAGGGAGAGCGGACAUUGUGUGUAUAGAUCUAUACGGGAUUGACAACCCCGCACCCAGACUGCUAGCUACAGUCCCGGCCUACCAAGCCAACGGGUGACAAAUGUCACAUCUUAUAGACGCUUGUAGGGCGUCUGGAACUCUAGUCAGUAUGGUUACGAGUAUCCCGGGUUACCUUAUAAUUCAUGGCUUUAAGGUAACGGUAUUUCACCGGCAAUCUACACUGUAUGCUGGUAACUCAUUUUCAGAGUCACACUGUUUGACCUUACAAGACGUAUCUUUCAUUUGAUACUGUAUGGGGUCUGUUUUCUCUGUUUUGACCUUACAAGACGUAUCUUUCAUUUGAUACUGUCUGGGGUCUGUUUUCUCUGUAUUCACUGUAUUCACUGUUCUGACCUUACAAGACGUAUCUUUCAUUUGAUACUGUCUGGGGUCUAUAUACACUGUUUGAGACCUUACCAGCAGUACUUUUCAUUUGGUACCUUCUGGGGUCUGUGACUCUAUUUGUUAGACUGAACCAGGCGUGUCGUUCGUUCGAUAGUUUCCUGGAGUCUAUGAUUCCUUGCCUUAGUCAGCAGUCCUCACUGCUGAGGCAUAUGUUAUUCCCUGAUGUCGUUUGCUUUCCUCAAUAAUCAAUUUUAGUAUUUUGAUAACGAUAACAAUUUAGGGAAAACUACUUUUUACCACAUAACACUGACCAGUCUUGGUAGAAGGCUGCUUUUAUUAAAGAAAAUAUAGGAUUUUCUGGAAAGAACUCUAAUGCACUGUAAACACUUAAAAUAUUACUUCAUAACAUUAUUUGACUAAAUGACACUAAAAUACUUAUGAACUCACCAGCAUUUGUAAAAAUGCUGAUACUCGCUUUUCAAAUAACUUGUAUUCUCAGGUCAGCAAUUAGACAGGUACACCCCUGAGCUGUUGAUGAAGAUGGAUUAGUACCUUGCUGUACUUAUUAUAUUUACUUGUGCUACUUUGAUACCUUGUAAUGUAACCAUGUAAAAUUAUUAUUAUUAAUGCAAUGUUUUGUUGUACUUUGAUUACUAUAUGCAUGUGUUGUGAUACUUGACAUGACGUCAUCCACCCCAGAACGUUUCCGCCGUUCCGGUGUUGGGGUGUGACACCCCAAGACCCGUGAAAGAGACCUCCCCCAACACGUUGCCUUGAUUGCUCGAACGACGACCCAAAAACUAGCCACGUUGCCUUGAUUCCUCGAACAUGUUGCCUUGAUUUGUGGAACGAUGAACAGAUGACUAGAAGCGUUGCCUAGAUUUGUCGAACGACGACCUUGAAACUAGCCCGGUUGCCUUGAUUCCUUGAGCAUGUUGCCUUGAUUUUUUGAACGAUGACCUGAAAACUAGCCUAAUGGAAAACAUGGGUGCUAUUCCUCAUUGCCUAGACAUAUAUAUUUAGGGGGACCAUAGAGACGAAGCAACCAUCUAGCACCAACAACGCAAGCCCUAAGACCCGUGAAGGAGCCCACCCCCAACGCAUUGCCUUGAUUGCUCGAAAGACGAGCCAAAAACUAGCCCCGUUGCCUUGAUUCCUCGAACGUGUUGCCUUCAUUUGUCGAACGAUGACCUGAUGACUAACAUUGUAGCCUAGUUUUGUCGAACGACGACCAUGAAACUAGUCCUGUUGCCUUGGUUCCUUGAGCUUGUUGCCUUUAUUUUUUGAACGAUGACCUGAAAACUAUCCUAAUGGACAACUUGUGGGAUAUUCCUUAUUACCUUGACGUAUAUAUUGGGGGGGACCAAAGAGACGAAGCAACCAUCAAGCACCAACAAGGCAAGCCCCAAGACCCGUGAAGGAGCCCGCCCCCCAAAGCGUUGCCUUGAUUGCUCGAACGACGAGCCAAAAACUAGCCCUGUUGCCUUGAUUCCUCGAAUGUGUUACCUUAAUUGGUCGAUCGAUGACCUGAUGACUAACAUUGUUGCCUAAAUUUUUCGAACAAUGACCUUGAAGCUAGUCUUUUUGCCUUGAUUCCUUGAGCUUGUUGCCUUGAUAUUUUGAACGAUGACCUGAAAACUAUGCUGAUAAACAACCGGGGUGUGCUAUCCUCGUUGCCUUGACGUCUAAUAUGGGGGGGACCAUAGGGACGAAGCAACCAUGGAGCACCGACAAGGCAAGCCCCAAGACCCAUGAAGGUUCCCACCCCCUAACACGUUGCCUUGAUUGGUCGAACGGCGACCUAAAAAAAAGCCAUGUUUCCUUGAUUCCUCGAACAUGAUGACUUAAUUUUUCGAACGAUGACAUGAUGACUAGCAUUGGUGCCUAGAUUUGUCGAACGAUGACCUAAUGACUAACAUUUUUGCCUAGAUUUGUCGAACGAGGACCUGGAAACUAGUCCUGUUGCCUUGAUUCCUUGAGCUUGUUGCCUUGAUUUUUUAAACGAUGACCUGAAAACUAUCCUGAUGGACAACCAGGGUGUGCUAUAAUCGUUGCCUUGACGUCUAAUAUUGGGGGUACCAUAAGGACGAAGCAACCAUCAAGCACCGACAAGGCAAGCCCCAAGACCCGUGAAGGAGCCCACCCGCAAACACGCUGCCUUGUUUGCUCGAACGACGACCUAAAGAAAGCCCUGUUUCCUUGAUUCCUCGAACAUGUUGCCUUAAUUUGUCGAACGAUGACAUGAUGAAUAGCAUUGUUGCCUAGAUUUGUCGAACGACGACCUUGAAACUAUCCAUGUUGCCUUGAUUCGUUGAGCAUGUUGCCUUGAUUUUUAGAAUGAUGGCCUGAACACAAGCCUUGUGGCCUUGCUUUGUAGAACAUGUAGUCUUGAUAUCUAAAACAACAUCCGGAUACCUAUACCCAUUGCCUUAAUGUAAAAAUAGGGGGACCGUAGAGACGAAGAAACCACCGAGCAGUGACAAGGCGAGCCCGAAGACCCUUGAAAGAAGCACACAACAAACAUGUUGCCUUGGUUGCUCGAACGACGACCUGAAAACAUGCCAUGUAUCCUUGAUUCCUCUAACCUGUGGCAUUAAUUUUAUGAACGAUGACCUGAUUACACGCCUUGCUGCCUAGAUGUGUCGAACGAUGGCCUUGAAAGAUGCCUACCCGAACACGUUGCCUUGUUAACUAGUUCCAUGUUGCCUUGAUUUCUCCAGCAUGUUGCCUUGAUAUGUUUAAGUAAAUCCUGAAAACUAGCCAUCUCACCUUGUUUUCUCGAACGAUGACCUGGAAAGUAGCCUCGUUGCCAUGGCUGCUGGAACAUGCUGCCUUUCUUUCUCUAAUGACGACCAGAAAACUUGCAUUGUUGCCUUUUGUUUUUAUCACGAUGACAUGACAUGUAUCCUUGAUUCUUCUUACAUGUUGCAUUAAUUUUAUGAACGAUGACCUGAUUACAGGCCUUGGUGCCUAGAUUUGUCGAAUGAUGGCCUUGAAAGUUUCAUACCCGAACACGUUGGCUUGUUGACUAGUUCCAUGUUGCCUUGAUAUGUUUAAGAAAAUCCUGAAAACUAGCCAUGUGGCCUUGUUUUCUUGAACGACGACCAGGAAACUAGCCUCAUUGCCUUGGCUGAGGGAACAUGUUGCCUUGUUUUCUCUAACGACGACCAUAAAACUUGUAUUGUUGCCUUGGCUGCUCGAACGAAGACCUGAAAACAUGCCUUGUAUCCUUGAUUCCUCUAACAUGUUGCAUUAAUUUUAUGAACGAUGACCUGAUUACAAGCCUUGCUGCCUAGAUCUGUCGAACGAUGGCCUUGAAAGUUUCCUACCCGAACACGUUGCCUUGUUAACUAGUUCAAUGUUGCCUUGAUUUCUCCAACAUGUUGCCUUGAUAUGCUUAAGAAAAUCCUGAAAACUAGCCAUGUCGCCUUGUUUUCUUUAACGACCCACGAUGCCUUGAUUUAUCGAACGAAGACCAGAAAACUAGCCUCGUAUCCUUGGUGUGUUUUUAUCGGAGGCCGCGUCACCAUUGUUGGUGAAAUACGGCCCGGUCACCGUGUUUGAUUAUUGUAAGUUCCUUUAUCCUUGUCCAAUUCAUGCCAAACCGGCUUCAUUUUGGCGAGUUAUAGAGAAUUAUAGCAUCUGAGUUUUUCGACUCGACCAGGACUAGAUACGCCCAAGAUUAACCGGUGACGAGAUGACCCUGAUGAAAACCUGUCCAAAAUCAUAUUUUGCUCAGUAACUCGAAAUAUGUGCACACUUUCUCGAUCACAAAAGAAAUUUUACCAUGUAAAUCAAGACGACCUGAAAACUAGCCUUGUUGCCUUGAUUAUUCGAACUUGUUGCUUAGAUAUUUUGAACGAUGACCUUGAAGCUAGGCUUGUUGCCUUGAUUUUUAGACCGUUGACCUGAAAACUAGCCUUUUGUGGCCUUGGUUUCUUGAACAAUGACCUGAAAACUAGCCACGAUGUCUUGAUUUCUCCCGACGUCGUGCGCAUGCUAAAAAUUAUGCAUCUUCGGGCAAAUCAAUGUCUGUUGCCUUGAUUUCUUGAACAUGUUGCCUUGAUUUCUAGAAUGACAACCUGAAAACUAGCCUUGUGGCCUUGAAUUGCAAGACAUCUUGUCUUGAUAUCUCAAACGAAAGCCUGAUUGCUAUCCCCAUUGCCUUGAUGGCGACGAAGGCACCGUCGAGCACCGACAAGGCAAGCCCAAUGACCCAUGAAGGAAGCCCACCCCAACAUCUUGCCUUGUUUUCUCGAACGAUGACCUGUAAACUAGCCUUGUUCCCUUGAUUAUUCAAACUUGUUGCUUAGAUUUCUUGAAGGAUGACCUUGAAACUAGGCCUGUUACCUUUAUUGUUGCCUUGAUUUUUAGAACAAGGACCUGAAAACUAGCCUUGUGGCCUUCGUUUCUAGAACAUGAUGUCUUGAUAUCUCGAAUGACGAGCGGAGAGCAGUGCCCGUUGCCUUGAUUUUUCGAACGAAGACCUAAAAAACAACCCAUGUUGCCUUGAUAUCUCGAACCUGAUGGCUUGGUUUUUGGAACGAAGGACUUAAAAUUUUCCCCGUUGCCUUGAUUUCACGAACGAUGCUUUGGUUUAAGUAAAAUGUUGGCGGCCUUUCUCGGACGACGGCUGAAAGCUGGCGUGUUGCCUUGAUUUAUGGAGCGCCUUUGAUUUAUACAACAUUUUGUCCGUGUUUCUCGAACGACGACCUGAAAGCUUGGAUUUAUUGAACGACGGCCUGAAAACAAGCCUUGCCGCCUUGAUCACUCAAACAUGUUGCCUUGAAUUAUCAAACUACUACCCGAAAGCAUGUUGCCUUGAAUUAUCAAACACCGUCGAAGUCACUACACACGAUGCAUGCCCAUAUUAAAUGAGUUCAUGUUGCUCUUUCGGCAUUUUUGACGUCUUAUGAGAAAACAAAGUAUAAUUGGUGGUCCUAGUAAAGCGCAUGUCAUCGGUUCGGGUUGUUAUGUGUUUUUAUCGGAGGCCGCGUCACCGUUGUUGGUGAAUUACGGCCCGGUCACCGAGUUUUAUUAUUGUAAGGUCCUUUAUCCUUGUCCAAUUCGUGCCAAACCGGCUUCAUUUUGGCGAGUUAAAUAGAAUUAUAGCGUCUCGGAUUUUUCGACUCGGCCAAGACUAGAUACGGUCAAGAUUAACCGGUGAGCAGAUGACCCAACCCGAUGAAACCUGGCCAAAAUCAUAUUUUGCUCGACAACUCGAAAUCCAUGCACAUUUCCUCGAUCACGAAAGAAAUUUUACCAGGCAAAUCAACAAUUUCGAGCAACUUUCAUUCAAUGGGUUUUUGCGAAAUCGGAGGUAAAAGACCACCCGGUGACCAAAGACGAUAAGACGCGGUGAAAGUUAGCCAAAAUCGCAUUUUGCUCAGUAACUCGAAAUCCGUGCACAUUUUCUGGAUCACGAAAGAAAAUUUACCAGGUAAAUCAAUGAUUUCGAGCAAUUUUCAUUUAAUGGUUUUACGCUGAUUCGGAAGUACAAGAUCACCCGGUGACCAAAGACGAUAAGACGCGGUGAAAGUUAGCCAAAAUCGCAUUUUGCUCAGUAACUCGAAAUCCGUGCACAUUUUCUCGAUCAUGAAAGGAAUUUUGCCGUGUAAAUCAAGGUUUCCGAGCAACUUUCAUUCAAUGGGUUUUCGCUAAUUCGGAAGUACAAGACCACCCGGUGACUAAAGUCGACCCAACCCGAUGAAAGUUAGCCGAAAUCACAUAUGGAUCGGUAACUCGAAAUCCGUGCACAUUUUCUUGAUCACGAAAGAAAAUUUACCAGGUAAAUCAAUGAUUUCGAGCAACUUUCAUUCAAUGGGUUUUUUGCCAAUUCGAAAGUUAAAGUUCAGUAGUGUGUGUGUACAAGUGUCGAAGCUUUGGUCCCCCGGGUAAUUACGGACCAAAAACAUAUUUUUUUUGAAACGUACAUUAUUCGUGUUAAUAAAGAGCCAUGCAAAAUUUCUUCAAAAUCUGAUUUAAUUUGGAGGAGUUAUGGACGUAUUUUGCAAAAUUAUGCAUCCUGGGGAAAUCAAUGUCUAUUCCUAUCACCAAGCUCUUUGUGCAAUAUGUAUAUAUAGGGGAAGGGUGGGAGUGACGCCCCACAGGCAUCCCAAAGGCGGGUGGGCGACCAGCGACGUCGAGGCUGCUACGACCAAGGGCAAAGCCAAGGCAAGGCCAUCGACCAAGCUCACCGGUCAUAUCCAAGUCGCGAUUUGUGUUUGGUUGGUGAAACCAGAUCGCGACCAGCCACUCCUCGACGAGAUCCUCGCAAGUGACCCAUUUUCACCGAUGAAAAACCUGAUCGCGACCUUAAUUGCCCCACGCCGUGCUAGUUCCAAAAAAUUAUGCAUGAUAUGGAAAAUCAAUGUCUGUUCCUAUGACCAAGCGCUUUGCGCAAUAUGUAUAUAUAGGGGAAGGGUGGGAGUGACGCCCCACCGGAGCCCCAAAGGUGGGUGAGCGACCAACGACAUCGAGGUUGUUACGACCAAGGGCAAGCCAAGGCAAGGCCAUUGGCCAAGCUCACCGGUGAUAUCCAUGUCGCGAUUUGCGUUUGCUUGGCGAAACCAGAUCGCGACCAGCCACUCCUCGACAAUAUCCUCGCAAUCGGCCCAUUUUCACCGAUGAAAAACCUGGUCGCGACCAAAGUUGCCCCACGUCGUGCUAGUUCCAAAAAAUUAUGCAUGAUAUGGAAAAUCAAUGUCAGUUCCUGUCACCAAGCUCUUUGCGCAAUAUGUAUAUAUAGGGGGGACCAUGGAGACCGAAGCCACCAGCGAGCAUUGAAAGGGCAAGCCCUAUGACCUGUGAAAGUAUCGCACCCCCCAACACGUUGCCUUGAUUGCUCGAACGACGACCCAAAAACUAGCCCCGUUGCCUUGAUUCCUCGAACAUGUUGCCUUACUUUGUCGAACGAUGACCUGAUGAUGAGCAUCGUUGCCUAUAUUCGUUGAACGAAGACCUUGGUUGCCUUGAUAUCACUAACGACGUUGCCUAGAUUUAUCGAACGAUGGCCCUGAAAGAUGCCUCCCCCAACACGUUGCCUUGUUAACUAGUUCAUGUUGCCUUGAUUUCUCCAACACGAGAUCCUCGUAAGCGACCCAUUUUCACCGAUGAAAAACCUGGUCGCGACCAAAGUUGCCCCACGUCGUGCUAGUUCCAAAAAAUUAUGCAUGAUAUGGAAAAUCAAUGUCUGUUCCUGUCACCAAGCUCUUUGCGCAAUAUGUAUAUAUAGGGGGAGGGGGGGGGCNAGGUGCCCCAAAGGUGGGUGAGCGACCAGCGACAUCGAGGCUGUUACGACCAAGGGCAAGCCAAGGCAAGGCCAUUGGCCAAGCUCACCGGUGAUAUCCAAGUCGCGAUUUGCAUUUGCUUGGCGAAACCAGAUCACGACCAGCCACUCCUCGACG